rnacentral:rRNA from 1 species
GUCUAUAGGUCUUAAUAUCCUAAAGACAUUAGAUCCUGUCUGAUCUUGGAAGCUAAGCAGUGUCAGUCCUGGUUAAUACUUGGAAGGGAGACUGCAAACAAAUAUCAGGCACUGUAGGCA